rnacentral:rRNA from 1 species
GACGAACGCUGGCGGCGUGCCUAAUACAUGCAAGUCGAACGAACCGCGACUAAGUGCUUGCACUCAGUCAAGGUGAGUGGCGAACGGGUGAGUAACACGUGGGUAACCUACCUCAUAGUGGGGGAUAACAGUCGGAAACGACUGCUAAUACCGCAUAGGACAUAGGCUCACAUGAUCCAGUGAGGAAAGGUGGCGCAAGCUAUCGCUAAGAGAUGGACCCGCGGUGCAUUAGCUAGUUGGUAGGGUAAAGGCCUACCAAGGCGAUGAUGCAUAGCCGACCGGAGAGGGUGAUCGGCCACAUUGGGACUGAGACACGGCCCAAACUCCUACGGGAGGCAGCAGUAGGGAAUCUUCCGCAAUGGACGCAAGUCUGACGGAGCAACGCCGCGUGAGUGAAGAAGGUCUUCGGAUCGUAAAGCUCUGUUGUUAGAGGAGAACAGCGCAUAGAGUAACUGCUAUGCGUGUGACGGUAUCUAACCAGAAAGCCACGGCUAACUACGUG